GAUGAACGCUGGCGGCGUGCCUAAUACAUGCAAGUCGAGCGAAUGGAUUAAGAGCUUGCUCUUAUGAAGUUAGCGGCGGACGGGUGAGUAACACGUGGGUAACCUGCCCAUAAGACUGGGAUAACUCCGGGAAACCGGGGCUAAUACCGGAUAACAUUUUGAACCGCAUGGUUCGAAAUUGAAAGGCGGCUUCGGCUGUCACUUAUGGAUGGACCCGCGUCGCAUUAGCUAGUUGGUGAGGUAACGGCUCACCAAGGCAACGAUGCGUAGCCGACAUGAGAGGGUGAUCGGCCACACUGGGACUGAGACACGGCCAAGACUCCUACGGGAGGCAGCAGUAGGGAAUCUUCCGCAAUGGACGAAAGUCUGACGGAGCAACGCCGCGUGAGUGAUGAAGGCUUUCGGGUCGUAAAACUCUGUUGUUAGGGAAGAACAAGUGCUAGUUGAAUAAGCUGGCACCUUGACGGUACCUAACCAGAAAGCCACGGCUAACUACGUGCCAGCCACCGCGGUAA
rnacentral:rRNA from 1 species